GCUCUGAGCCAUCAUCAGCCCAGAGCCCGACGCGGGGCUCGAACUCCCGGAAUGCGAGAUCGUGACCUGGCUGAAGUCGGACGCUUAACCGACUGCGCCACCCAGGCGCCCCAAGAAUGUGUCCUCCUGUUGUAGCCAAACGUUGAAGCAUCUUUACAAAGUCCUGGGUGAAGCUUGCAGACCCUCUGGCUCUGUGUUGUCCUCACCUCCAGCCUGGGCAAGCCACCCACCUGCCAAUGCUCAAUGUUGCCUUUUUACAGAGCCCGAAUAGAGAGAAGGGGCAGAGGCGGGAAUCCCACGGAGCAGCUUAGCUGAGCUCUGGACAGUCUGUCCUGGGAUGCCCGGCCCUCAGCAGUAGCCAUCGACGGAGGAACAGAUAUGUUUGUUUGUUAAAUGUUUAUUUUUGAGAAAGAGAGUGGGGGAGGGGCAGAGAGAGGGGACACAGAGGAUCCGAAGCAGGCUCUGUGUGAUCAGCACAGAGCCCAACACUGGGCUCGAAUUCACGGACCGUGAGAUCAUGACCUGAGCCGAAGUCGGACACUCAACGGACUGAGUUGCCCAGGUGCCGCAAGGACCAGAUCUGUUCAAGGACAUAGGUCCUGCUUUCUGCAGCCCCCAGAACGUACGCUGAAUCGAGGCCGUCACGACGAAGCCUGGAGCGCAUAGGCUCGCUGCUGUUUGCAGUCCUGUUCUCAGCCAUUGCCCCCAGGUGCAUGGCGGGAGCCCUGCGACAAAUCAGGGACCUCGGGGAGACGGAGGUUGUUGGAUAUUUCAGUUAUAUUCUACCUGACCUGAUAUCUGGAGGCCUCUCCUUGAGGUUGGCCUGUACUGUCGUAAGUUGUUCCGAGCAAAGCGAGGGGCGCCCGAGGCCCCACGCCUGAGGCCCCCCAGGAACCUGUCCAGGUGGACCCUAUCACUGUCCCUGUAAGAGGCCCCGUGCUCUCGGCCCCCGGGAACCUGCCCAGGUGGACCCCAUCACCAUUUGCCCAGCCGGUGGUGCUAUUGCUGAUUCAGACUCGGAGCUUGGUGCUCUCUGCGUGUGGUUGAUUAGAGCGGCUGGGAAUUGCUCUAGGAUGUUCUCCGUUCCUGCAGGGCCAGUGGAGCUGGCCAGUCCCUUACAGGAUGGGAAUAAGAAUGGCUUUUGGUCAGCCAGCAGGACAUGUUUGGGGGAGAUGCCCAGAGGGCGAAGGACGCUGGAACAGUCAAGCCUGCUUGGGACCGGUGAGCAAGGUGGAAAUUCCACAAGGUGCCACGUUCUAGAACUCACGACAGGUCUAGAGGCCACAUCUGCACUGCACUAGUGGGGGCUGACUCGGAUUCCAGCGACAUCUACUGGGACACCCUGGGGAAGGGAGCAGCCACAUACAAGACCGGGCACUGGAGAGGUCCACUGCAGAUCUUUCCAGUGACAAUGCCUAAGGUAUGAAUCUCUGCCAGUGGACCAUGCUGGAGCACGGAGGAGGAAAGACUUGCCUUCCUGCUUCCAGUGUGCUUACUCAUCAGGCCCCCCAAAACUUCUCUCCAACACAAGAGCAACAGGAAACCUGGAAAAAAUGGUCAGAAACAACAUUUUUGAAGCUCUAGAAAUUAGGGCCGCCUGGGUGGCUCAGUCGGUUAAGCGGCCGACUUCAGCUCGGGUCACGAGCUCAGGUCACG